rnacentral:rRNA from 1 species
CGGACGGGUGAGUAACGCGUGGGUAACCUGCCUUGUACAGGGGGAUAACAGUUGGAAACGGCUGCUAAUACCGCAUAAGCCCACGGCUCGGCAUCGAGCAGAGGGAAAAGGAGUGAUCCACUUUGAGAUGGCCUCGCGUCCGAUUAGCUAGUUGGUGAGGUAACGGCCCACCAAGGCGACGAUCGGUAGCCGGACUGAGAGGUUGAACGGCCACAUUGGGACUGAGACACGGCCCAG